UGGAACUUGGCCAGGAGUUCAGAUCUAUGAUUGGACUCUCUAAAACCCUUGUAUGUUGAUUGGAAGAAUCAAGUGGUGUUAGAGCGGGACGUGGGAAGUAUAUAGGACGGUGUGUCCGCUAAGUUCUUCGUGCUCUAGUGUUAAUGGGAAAUUGUGUUGCCAAGGAUGAAACAAGAAAAAGCAGAAUUGGGAAAGUUAAGGAGAGAUGCAGAAAUUUACGCAAGCGCCUGUCGUAGAUGGUCGUCUGCAUUUUGGAUAGAAUUGGGCUUCAUGAAUCCAUAGCCAUGGAUGAAGAUACUUUCCAGAUUAUGCCGUGAGGUAAGGAAUUGCUCUUUAGGUAUGCGCUUCUACACGCCUUCAAAGGAGUGGGUAAAAGAAAAUAAUAUUCAUGUUGACAUUAUUGGAUUCUAUGGACUCCUAAUGCAUGACUUCCUGGAUUGACUCGAAGGCAUGGAGCCGUUCUUUGAAUGUUAGGAGCUAUCGAAUGCGAAGAGCUACAGACUUAAGGGCGUUCCCUUAUGUGGUGGCAACAAAUUAAAGCAAUAGAGUAAGGGAACAUAGAUGUUAGCUAGUGGAGGAAGGUGAAGUCUUGCUUGGAGGAAGAUACACAACGGAAAAUGCCCAGGACUCGGUUGAAGUCCUCACCAUUGUGCGAAAUGCGCCCAUGGGGCUUCAAGCAACCUCUCAUGCCAAUACUUCCAGCUCCUGGUAAUUGUCUUCCUAAGCACCCUGCAGAACAUUUUGUCCAAGGCUUUGGCGAACUCUUCCGCACGCAUCACUAGUCUAUAUGGAACUUGGCUUGCGGGUGGUGUUAAAUCUGGUUCUUGAAAGGCGAGCCAUUAUUUGAAAUUAUCCUAUCUAAGACUCCAUACAUAUAUAAAUUUGACGCUAGAUGAAAUUGGCUACAACCUUUUCUUUGCAUCAAGACGACUGCUUCAGCGUACUUGGAGCAGUAAUCAAUGACAGUCAAUAUACUUGAAGAAACAUGGUCAAUAGGGCCAAUAAUGAGGGGCCUGCUUGUUAUGAGUGCAUGUGAUACUAGGGGCUUGAGCAGAUAAGCCCUAAUGAUAUCGAAAGCAAUUCAAGCUGCAUCAUCCCAUUUGAAGGGUACAUCAUUCUUCAUCAACCUUGAAAAGUGCCCAUGCCUUCCUACAAGGUUAGAUAUAAACUUUCAAAUAUAUGCAGGUCUCCCAUGGAGGGACUUCUGACUCUUGCAGAAGUCUAGGGGUGUGGGAUUCAUCAAAUACCAUGGUCAUUUGUUACUCAAAUUGACUCAAUUUGGGAGGAUUCAUAUGGACCCGGUUUCGGCUAGAGAUAUGGGGACAUGCAUGGAUCGACCUACUUCAUAUUGCUGCCACAGCUUGGCGUGAGAAGCUUGAUUGGAAUGUCAACAACAUCUAAAAAUACUGGGGCUUCCAAUCCCGUCUGUUCUCAUUGUGAUGUUCAUUAUGCUAUGUAUACAUCAACUACUAGAGACAACCCAAAUAGACUAUUCUAUUGAUGUAUACAAACUAAAUGUGCUCGGUGUCAAAAUGAUAAUUGUAAAUUCAUUCAGUGGUGUGAUCGGUACAUAACAGAUGUCAACCACAUGGCAAAUUUGAGAUGUCGACAUGCAACAAUGGAGUUGCCCACAAGCAUCACAUAAACACGACCAAAAAAUUAUGAACCAAUGGCAGUAUAAUUGUUGACCUCAUCCACCUAAGACAUAUUUUGUAUUUCCUA